UCAUGCGUCUGCUUUGAGUAACUUAAUACGGGCUGCGCUCAUCCAGGCACAGGCUGUUUUGAGUAAAAGGCUGAAUGAGACAGCUUUUGGGGAUUUUUCCUUUUGAAUCAUAAGCGUGGCUACACCCUAGGUUUUCGUUUUUUCCUAUUCUAAACUCUAUCAGACUAGAGAGAAAGAGUACCACCAAUCAGCAAGAACACGGGAAUCUACUCCAAAGCGAGGAGCUUGCACCUAGUGGGGAAUCAGGUGGUCUUAGGAUGGGAGGAGCAGUGUGCUUUCCUCUAUGAAUUCGUCUAAACUGCCUUGAGUCUGCGAGCACUCGAAGUAGUGGAGACUCAGAGAGGAGCGAUCAGUAUACAGUGAAAGUCACUUCCUCAUUGGGCCGAUGCCAAGGUUUGUUUCUUGUAGACUUGACUCUGCUGAUUAAGGGUCUAGCUGAUCCCACUGACGGCAGAGCCUUCAAGACUGAUUGCUAAAGGUUGGGGACUUUUGGCACAGUAGAAUUUGAGCCUCUGUGCUUGCCAGAAAUACGUCCCUCCUUCCUCUAUAUGCACUUUUGUACUCACUGAACACUGGGCAGUCCAGCUUUCGGAUUACAGACAACUAGAGCUUGAAGGGACUGGACCCUCUUCCUGAGACAUCAUGGCCCUGACCCCAGAACCGAGCGGACAAACAAUACUGAAAGAGGUAGCAGGGAUCCCACUGCAGGCUCCAACUGUGGACAACUGGAGGCAGAUUCAGACUUUUGAGGCCAAGCCAGAUGACCUCCUCAUUUGUACUUACCCUAAAUCAGGGACUACAUGGAUUCAAGAAAUUGUGGACAUGAUCGAGCAGAAUGGGGAUGUAGAGAAGUGCCGGAGAACCAUCAUCCAACACCGACACCCUUUUAUUGAGUGGGCACGGCCACCCCAGCCAUCAGGGGUGGACAAGGCCAAUGAGAUGCCAGCUCCAAGGAUAUUAAGGACCCAUCUUCCCACUCAACUACUGCCACCAUCUUUCUGGACAAACAACUGUAAGUUCCUUUAUGUAGCUCGAAAUCCUAAAGACUGCAUGGUUUCCUACUACCACUUCUACAGGAUGAGCCAGGUGCUCCCAGAGCCAGGCACCUGGGAUGAGUAUUUUGAAACCUUCAUCAAUGGAAAGGUAAGUUGGGGAUCCUGGUUUGACCAUGUGAAAGGAUGGUGGGAAAUUCGAGACAGAUACCAGAUUCUCUUCCUCUUCUACGAAGAUCUGAAGAGGGACCCAAAGCAUGAAAUCCAGAAGGUGAUACAGUUCAUGGGCAAGAAUUUGGAUGAAGAGGUGGUGGAUAAAAUAGUCCUGGAGACAGCAUUUGAGAAAAUGAAAGAGAAUCCUAUGACAAAUCGUUCUACAGUCCCCAAAUCUAUCCUGGACCAGUCCAUAUCCCCUUUCAUGAGAAAAGGAACUGUGGGUGAUUGGAAAAACCACUUUACUGUGGCCCAGAAUGAGAGGUUUGAUGAAAUCUAUAAGCAAAAGAUGGGCACAACCUCUCUGAACUUCUGCAUGGAACUCUGAUCAAGAUGUGAAGACACCAAGAACAGGAAUCUGUCUGCAAGCCUCAAUCCAGCCAAAGGAAUCCAGUUUGAGAGCAAACUGUAAAUGCCAAGGAUUGUGUCUCCGACUCUGUGAUUACUAACAUCACAUUACAACUCAUAAAAGCAGAUCAUGUCCAAGAUUAUAUCAUUGGAAUGAGAUUGUAUUUUUCAACAAGAACUGAUUAAAGUAAUUUUAGAUACAGAGAUACUCAAUGGAACACCUGGGAAUGAUUCUUCUCUACGUUUCUUGCCCUAGAGAGAUGGCUCAUAUUCAA